GAUGAAGAACGUAGCGAAAUGCGAUAAGUAAUGUGAAUUGCAGAAUUCAGUGAAUCAUCGAAUCUUUGAACGCACAUUGCGCCCGCCAGUAUUCUGGCGGGCAUGCCUGUCCGAGCGUCAUUUCAACCCUCGAACCCCUCCGGGGGUCCGGCGUUGGGGAUCGGGAACCCCUAAGACGGGAUCCCGGCCCCGAAAUACAGUGGCGGUCUCGCCGCUGCCUCUCAUGCGCAGUAGUUUGCACAACUCGCACCGGGAGCGCGGCGCGUCCACGUCCGUAAAACACCCAACUUCUGAAAUGUUGACCUCGGAUCAGGUAGGAAUACCCGCUGAACUUAAGCAUAUCAAUAAGCGGAGGA
rnacentral:misc_RNA from 1 species